rnacentral:rRNA from 1 species
UGGGGAAUAUUGCACAAUGGGGGAAACCCUGAUGCAGCGACGCCGCGUGAACGAAGAAGGUAUUCGUAUCGUAAAGUUCUGUCCUAUGGGAAGAUAAUGACAGUACCAUAGAAGAAAGCUCCGGCUAAAUACGUGCCAGCAGCCGCGGUAAUACGUAUGGAGCGAGCGUUGUCCGGAAUUAUUGGGCGUAAAGGGUACGCAGGCGGUUUAAUAAGUCGAAUGUUAAAGAUCGGGGCUCAACCCCGCAAAGCAUUGGAAACUGAUAAACUUGAGUAGUGGAGAGGAAAGUGGAAUUCCUAGUGUAGUGGUGAAAUACGUAGAUAUUAGGAGGAAUACCAGUAGCGAAGGCGACUUUCUGGACACAAACUGACGCUGAGGUACGAAAGCGUUGGGAGCAAACAGG